UUUUUUUGGGUACUGUUACAGGAAGAAGUCAAGCUGUUGUUCUCCAAGCAAAAGACUAAAUGCACAUGCUGUCUGGCAGUUCUCUAGCCAAAAUAUGAUACAAAUUCCCUUGGACAGUUUGGAGAAAUCCAGAGAGGAUUGUGAUUCAGUGAGCAGCUGAUUGAUUCACCUCUUCCUGUUCUCACUCAGAGGCCACAGUAUAUAAGCAGAAGGUCACAGGCCAUAUGGGAUGGAAGCCAUGCUCCAAAAUAAGUACUUUCCUCAGAAUGCAUGCAGAGAGGAACAUCAAGAUAUGUGCCUCUUCUUGUGUUCAAUUCAACACAGAAUUUGGCUCGAGUGUAGCAGAAACGUUUUUGGACACUGAGUAAUAUCACAAUUCCACAGUAAGCAAGAAAAAGGAAGUAGUGUCAUUAUAUUUAAUGACUUCUACAUUUAAAAAUAUCUGUGAAAAUUCUUGACACAGUAAGGAAACACAAAACAUACAGCAAUUGUUUGGAAUUAAAAUUCAUAUACAAAUAUUCAAGAAAGUCUGGGCUGAGUUUAUAUCCAACUCAAAAUAUAUACAAUAAUAUAUAUAUAUUAUAAUAAAUAUAUGUAUAAUAUAUAUUUCCCUAUGCUUUACAGGCACUUGGAUCUAGUAUGUACGUGACUACCCAAAGCAGGCAGAAUUGUUUAAUUUAGCUUUCUAUAUACAACCUGUAGGUUAGGAACAGCGGACAGUACUCUGCAAUUUUACUGAUUGUUGUCUGUUUACCAUAAUUACAGAGAUAUUUUAAACUUCCGCAUUUUGUUGUAGGCAUAAUAUUAGGUAGGGAAUAGCAGCAGAACAUUUUGAGUAGUCUGUUAUUGUGGAUACAUCCUGAGGACUAGCUGAUGCUAUUUUUAGUCACUAUGUGGUUAACUGUGACUAGACUGAGGAUGUUAUUUUUUUGUUCAGUGUUUGAAGUUGCAAACAUUGAAUUUUGCAGUCUGAAAUUGCUGAAUUAAAAAAAAUAUAUAUCUGAGUUUUAAUUAAAAGUUAUGCAUAUGAACACA